CCCACCGCCGAAAGCCGAGACGGGCCCAUUGACGUCACUUUGACGCCAGAGCGACGCGCGCCCAGGCGCGAGGCUGAAGGAGAGCGAGACACCGGGCCGUUGCCAAGGAACGGGCUGCGCUGACGCGCGCGCUGAUGGAGCCGUCGCCCGGGAGACGGAGGAUUCAUGAUUUCUUUCUUCCAAAAUGGGAAGCAGUGGGCUGGAUUUGGUGCUGUCUUAAAUCCUGAUUUUUCCAUCUAAGGAGAGGCUGAUACCUGUGCCAUGGGACUGCCUGGAGAACGGCUGCAGACAGAGGCUGAGAAGGAGACAGGGGGUCCAUGUCUGAAGAUGCUAGGAAUCAGGGGAGCUGGAAACAGCAGGCGGUAGGAAGCAGCAGAGAAGUAGUGUUGGAAAUUGCCUGCAUGGUGAGGGAAGGAAAUCCCUUGACACAUCUGCAAGAAGACUGGCUCUGUGAAAAAGCCUUGCUAGGGCAGGGAAGAGCUACAGAGGCUGCCAUACGUGGGCCCAGAGCUGUGCAACAGGAGUCUGGAGGCUUUGUCUCCCCAUCCUCCACCGAGGUGGCUUCACAGCCCCAGGACACCCCUGACCUGAAGCAUGGCUCUCGAUGGGAACUUCAUAUUCAAACUCUGAAUAAGGAUGUGAAGAUGACAUGGAAGGCCAGAUCCACUUGUGCCUGCUUCUCCUUGCCUUGCCCAGGAUCUUUUCUCUUUGGGAUCCCUACAAACUGACCAGUUGAAGAUUACUGUUGCUGCAGAACAUAAGAAGCUCAGCAGAAUUUGUGCAUGGCAUUGAAUCGUGCAUCAUACAUUCUUACAUACUGCUCCUGCAUGUAGGCUGUGAUGAAGGGGAAGUCAAU
rnacentral:lncRNA from 1 species